UACGUAGGGACCAAGCGUUGUUCGGAUUUACUGGGCGUAAAGGGCGCGUAGGCGGCCAUUCAAGUCAGUUGUGAAAUCUCCGAGCUUAACUCGGAACGGUCAACUGAUACUGUUUUGCUAGAGUACAGAAGGGGCAAUCGGAAUUCUUGGUGUAGCGGUGAAAUGCGUAGAUAUCAAGAGGAACACCUGAGGUGAAGACGGGUUGCUGGGCUGAUACUGACGCUGAGGCGCGAAAGCUAGGGUAGCAAACGGG
rnacentral:rRNA from 1 species